rnacentral:rRNA from 1 species
AUUGAACGCUGGCGGCAGGCCUAACACAUGCAAGUCGAGCGAGCGGCGGACGGGUGAGUAAUGUAUGGGGACUGCCCGAUAGAGGGGGAUAACUACUGGAAACGGUGGCUAAUACCGCAUACUAUCGGAUAACCAAUAUGGGAUUAGCUAGUAGGUGGGGUAAAGGCUCACCUAGGUGACGAGCGCUAGCUGGUCUGAGAGGAUGAUCGGCCGCACGAGAACAGAAACACGGCCCAGACUCCUCCGGAGGCAGCAGUGGGGAAGAUUGCACAAUGAGCGCAAGCCUGAUGCAGCCAUGCCGCGUGUAUGAAGAAGGCCGUAGGGUUGUAAAGUACUUUCGGCGGGGAAGCGUUACCGACAAAAGAAGCACCGGCUAACUCCGUGCCAGCAGCCGCGGUAAUAC